UGUAUUGCCCUAGUAACGGCGAGUGAAGCGGCAACAGCUCAAAUUUGAAAUCUGGCUUCGGCCCGAGUUGUAAUUUGUAGAGGAUGCUUUGGGCGCGGCGCCAACUGAGUUCCCUGGAACGGGACGCCACAGAGGGUGAGAGCCCCGUAUAGUUGGAUGCCUAGCCUAUGUAAAGCUCCUUCGACGAGUCGAGUAGUUUGGGAAUGCUGCUCAAAAUGGGAGGUAAAUUUCUUCUAAAGCUAAAUACCGGCCAGAGACCGAUAGCGCACAAGUAGAGUGAUCGAAAGAUGAAAAGCACUUUGAAAAGAGGGUUAAAUAGCACGUGAAAUUGUUGAAAGGGAAGCGCUUGUGACCAGACUUGCGCCGGGCAGAUCAUCCGGUGUUCUCACCGGUGCACUCUGCCCGGCUCAGGCCAGCAUCGGUUCUCGUGGGGGGAUAAAGGUCUCGGGAACGUAGCUCUUCCGGGAGUGUUAUAGCCCGGGGCGUAAUGCCCUCGCGGGGACCGAGGUUCGCGCAUCUGCAAGGAUGCUGGCGUAAUGGUCAUCAGCGACCC
rnacentral:rRNA from 1 species